GCCAGGCGUAGUGGAUUGCACCUGUAGUCCCAGCUACUUGGGAGGCUGAGGCAGGAGGAUUGCUUGAGCCCAGGAGGUCGAGGCUGCAGUGAGCCACGAUUGCAUCACUGCACUCCAGCCUGGGCAACAGAGUAAGACCCUGUCUCAA
rnacentral:SRP_RNA from 1 species